UACGUAGGGUGCAAGCGUUAUCCGGAAUUAUUGGGCGUAAAGAGCUCGUAGGCGGUUUGUCGCGUCUGCUGUGAAAACUGGAGGCUCAACCUCCAGCCUGCAGUGGGUACGGGCAAACUAGAGUGCGGUAGGGGAGAUUAGAAUUCCUGGUGUAGCGGUGGAAUGCGCAGAUAUCAGGAGGAACACCGGUGGCGAAGGCGGGUCUCUGGGCCGUUACUGACGCUGAGGAGCGAAAGCGUGGGGAGCGAACAGG
rnacentral:rRNA from 1 species